CCUACGGGAGGCAGCAGUGAGGAAUAUUGGUCAAUGGGCGCGAGCCUGAACCAGCCAAGUCGCGUGACGGAAGACGGUCCUAUGGAUUGUAAACCUCUUUUGUCGGGGAGCAAAAGACGCCACGCGUGGCGUUCCGAGAGUACCCGAAGAAAAAGCAUCGGGAAACUCCGUGGCAGCCGCCGCGGUCAUAACGAGGAUUGGAGCGUUCUCCGGAUUUUUUGGGGUUCAAGGGUGCGUAGGAGGAAGUGAAAGUCAGCGGUACAAUUUAGAGGCUCAAACUCUUCGAGCUGUUGAAACUGUUUGUCUUGAGUGAGUGAGAAGUAUGCGGAAUGCGUGGUGUAGCGGUGAAAUGCAUAGAUAUCACGCAGAACUCCGAUUGCGAAGGCAGCAUACCGGCGCUCAACUGACGCUCAUGCACGAAAGUGUGGGUAUCGAACAGGAUUAGAUACCCGGGUAGUC
rnacentral:rRNA from 1 species